rnacentral:misc_RNA from 1 species
GAUGAAGAACGUAGUGAAAUGCGAUAAGUAGUGUGAAUUGCAGAAUUCAGUGAAUCAUCGAAUCUUUGAACGCACAUUGCGCCCUUUGGUAUUCCUUAGGGCAUGCCUGUUCGAGCGUCAUUUAAACCUUCAAGCUAAGCUUGGUGUUGGGUGACUGUCCGCUUCACGGCGGACUCGCCUCAAAAUUAUUGGCGGCCGGUACAUUGGCUUCGAGCGCAGCAGAAACGCGAACUCGGGCCCGUCGUAUUGGCUCCCAGAAGCUAUCUUCACAAUUUUGACCUCGGAUCAGGUAGGGAUACCCGCUGAACUUAAGCAUAUCAAUAAGCGGGGA